CAGAGCCAAAGCCCGCCGGCACCGCGGCGCGGGGAGGCCCGAGGCCAGGGACGACGAGGACCCGGUCAUGGGCUCCGUGGUCUGGGCCGCACCUGCCCCCGGGGAGCCGCAGGACAUCCACUACGCCUCCCUCAGCUUCCACGGGGCGAAGGCUCGGGAGCCGCAGGAGCCGGAGGCCGCCACCGUGUACUCAGAGAUCAGGACCAGCGCGUGAGGCGCGGAGCCGCCUGCCCGGGCAUCGUGGUGUCUUGGGGUGACAAGAAGCACUCGGGGUGACGACAAGGCACAAGGGGCCGCGGGCCGUGUUAACAGGGACACGGCUGAGCGGGCCGGGGCAGAGCGCGGUGACCCAGCAUUCGCCUAGUCUCUGCCUCAGUUUCCCGCCCUGUAACUCAGAGAUCGCCUCCCACCGCAGACCGUCAGAGAAACGCAGGGGGACAUCAACCAGCUGACGUGGCUCGGAGGUCCGGGCUGGAGGCGGGGCCGGCGCGAGGAGGGAGCUGUCUCCACUGGGGCCCCCAGCCGCUCCCUCUGUCACGAGCCCCCCCCUUCCUUAGGCAGGGCGCCCCGCUCUCCGCCAGCAGCUUCCCCCCCCAGCCGCGGGUGCUGCCCCCUGCCGGCCGCCACCCGCCAGCGUCUGCGCUCCCUCCUCCCACGCCGCCUGCUCCCGGGCUCACCCCAGUUCUCCUUCAAAUCUCCCUUCUUGGGUAGAUCUGGGGGGGUGCAACCAGAAAAAAAGCUUUACUCUCCCUCCUCUAACGGUACACUCGGACAAUUUUUAGCUGAUUUUGAAAAGCAAGCGGUCGCUGAAGCACAGGCACAAACUCGCCCGCAGCGGCCCAGGAGCCUGGCAUGGAGCCGGGGUUGCCAGCUGCCCCGAGGCUCCUGCUCCGGGGUGCAGGGCGGGGCUCACAGCCGGAUAGGGCGGGCGCUGGCGCCGGAGGUCGCUCACCCCCAGCCCCAGGACCGAGCUACCUGCUGUUCCUGACUCCGCAUUUCCCUUCCGAGCCCGAAUUCUGCUCUGUGACGCCCUGAUGAAAAGUGGGCCCACGAGACCCCGGGCCUCCACCCGCGACGUCCCAAGAAGGCAGAACCCCAGCCCUUCGCUCUGUCCCUCUGCCUCGUGUGACAACGGUGUGUGGCCAUACAGUAAUAAACCUGGUUUCCUCA